rnacentral:rRNA from 1 species
GACGUAGGGGGCGAGCGUUGUCCGGAGUUACUGGGCGUAAAGGGCGCGCAGGCGGUCGCGCGCGCCGCACCGUGAAAGCCCCCGGCUCAACCUGGGAACUGCAUUUGUGACUGCAUGGCUAGAGUACGGCAGAGGGGGAUGGAAUUCCGCGUGUAGCAGUGAAAUGCGUAGAUAUGCGGAGGAACACCGAUGGCGAAGGCAAUCCCCUGGGCCUGUACUGACGCUCAUGCACGAAAGCGUGGGGAGCAAACAGG